rnacentral:rRNA from 1 species
AUACCAGCACCCCGAGUGGUCGGGACGAUUAUUGGGCCUAAAGCAUCCGUAGCCGGUCCUGCAAGUCCCCCGUUAAAUCCAGCUGCUCAACAGAUGGGCCGCGGAGGAUACUACAGAGCUAGGAGGCAGGAGAGGCAAGCGGUACUCAGUGGGUCGGGGUAAAAUCCGUUGAUCCAUUGAAGACCACCAGUGGCGAAGGCGGCUUGCCAGAAUGCGCUCGACGGUGAGGGAUGAAAGCUGGGGGAGCAAACCGGAUUAGGUACCCGGGUAGUCCCAGCCGUAAACGAUGCAGACUCGGUGAUGGGUUGGCUUCGCGCUAACCCAGUGCCGCAGGGAAGCCGUUAAGUCUGCCGCCUGGGUAGUACGGUCGCAAGACUGAAACUUAAAGGAAUUGGCGGGG